UUCCUCCACAAGGAUUUCUCCAAGCAGACGUCUCUAACGACUGACAGUGACGCCUCGUCUCUUCCACUCAGGAACAGCUUGAUUUGCUCUCGGACAUUCAGACUUGGUACGUCCACGGAACAUUCAAGACGCCAAUGAAAACACCAAGCAAGUUCCACUGCUAUUUGUCAUGAUGACACGCCGACAAACCGCGAAUUAUGUGAAGGUGUUUGAGACUAUACUUGGUCUUUUACCUGGUCGAGCUGCCAUCUAGAUGGGUGUUGCAGAUUUUGAGAAAGCGUCGCGGGCGGCUACCAGAGCAUGUAUCCCCGGAGUUGCCAUCAGAAGUUACAACUUCCACUAGAACCAGGCUAUUUGGUGGAAGGUUCAGGAAGCUGGUCUCCAGAUUGACUACAUGCAGAAGACGGAGGUCUACACGGCAGUAAGACAAGUCAGGACACUU